GACGUAGGGGGCCAGCGUUGCUCGGAAUUACUGGGCGUAAAGGGUCCGUAGGCGGUGCGGUAAGUCGGGAGUGAAAUCUCUGGGCUUAACUCAGAGGCUGCUUCCAAAACUACCGUGCUAGAGUGCGAGAGAGGCAAGUGGAAUUGCGGGUGUAGCGGUGAAAUGCGUAGAUAUCAGGAGGAACACCGGUGGCGAAGGCGGGUCUCUGGGCCGUUACUGACGCUGAGGAGCGAAAGCGUGGGGAGCGAACAGG
rnacentral:rRNA from 1 species